rnacentral:rRNA from 1 species
UUUGCAGAGGAUGCUUUUGGCGAGGUGCCUUCCGAGUUCCCUGGAACGGGACGCCAUAGAGGGUGAGAGCCCCGUCUGGUUGGAUGCCGAGCCUCUGUAAAGCUCCUUCGAC